rnacentral:rRNA from 1 species
UACAGAGGUGGCAAGCGUUGUUCGGAAUUACUGGGCGUAAAGGGCGCGUAGGCGGUCUUCUAAGUCUUGUGUGAAAUCCCUCGGCUCAACUGAGGAACUGCACGGGAUACUGGAAGACUUGAGUUCGGGAGAGGGAAGCGGAAUUCCGGGUGUAGCGGUGAAAUGCGUAGAUAUCCGGAGGAACACCGGUGGCGAAGGCGGGUCUCUGGGCCGAUACUGACGCUGAGGAGCGAAAGCGUGGGGAGCAAACAGG